rnacentral:rRNA from 1 species
GGGGUACUCGAGCGGCGAACGGGUGAGUAACACNGUGAGUAAUCUGCCCUGCGCUCUGGGAUAGCCACCGGAAACGGUGAUUAAUACCGGAUAGGACCACUUCACGCAUGUGAUGGUGGUGGAAAGUUUUUUCGGCGCAGGAUGUGCUCGCGGCCUAUCAGCUUGUUGGUGAGGUAACGGCUCACCAAGGCUUUGACGGGUAACCGGCCUGAGAGGGUGACCGGUCACACUGGGACUGAGACACGGCCCAGACUCCUACGGGAGGCAGCAGUGGGGAAUAUUGGACAAUGGGCGGAAGCCUGAUCCAGCAACGCCGCGUGAGGGAUGACGGCCUUCGGGUUGUAAACCUCUUUCAGUACCGACGAAGCGCAAGUGACGGUAGGUACAGAAGAAGGACCGGCCAACUACGUGCCAGCAGCCGCGGUAAUACGUAGGGUCCGAGCGUUGUCCGGAAUUAUUGGGCGUAAAGGGCUCGUAGGCGGUUUGUCGCGUCGGGAGUGAAAACACCGGGCUUAACUCGGUGCUUGCUUUCGAUACGGGCAGACUAGAGGUAUGCAGGGGAGAAUGG